GUGGGGAAUCUUCCACAAUGGACGAAAGUCUGAUGGAGCAACGCCGCGUGAGUGAAGAAGGGUUUCGGCUCGUAAAGCUCUGUGAUCGGGGACGAAUGGCUGGUGCGUUAAUACCGCAUCAGAGUGACGGUACCCGAAUAGCAAGCCACGGCUAACUACGUGCCAGCAGCCGCGGUAAUACGUAGGUGGCAAGCGUUGUCCGGAAUUAUUGGGCGUAAAGCGCGCGCAGGCGGCUUCUUAAGUCCAUCUUAAAAGUGCGGGGCUUAACCCCGUGAUGGGAUGGAAACUGGGAGGCUGGAGUAUCGGAGAGGAAAGUGGAAUUCCUAGUGUAGCGGUGAAAUGCGUAGAGAUUAGGAAGAACACCGGUGGCGAAGGCGACUUUCUGGACGACAACUGACGCUGAGGCGCGAAAGCGUGGGGAGCAAACAGGAUUAGAUACCCUAGUAGUCC
rnacentral:rRNA from 1 species